UCACCACUUCCUCCUUUAUUUUUUUCUCUUCAUCUUCGCAGAACCACAACCAUGACCAGAUCUAGAUAUGAGUCGUAUCUCUUUCUCCCUCACAUGAGAAAACUACCAUUCCCUGUUCUCAUCAAGCUCAUCCGUCACUAAACACCAUCAAUCAGUCUUUGAAAAUCAAAUUUUGUUGCUUGUCGUGCUAUUCUGAAUGAUGAAGAUGGUGGCGUUAAGAGAAGUAUUUAGCCAUCCAAGUGUCCGAUUUCUAUCAAGUGAUGCUGAUGACUCUAAUCCAGUUCAUGAAUCUUUACAAAUGUGAAAAUUAAGGUUUUAAAAAUCAGGUAUGGUUGUUAUAAACCACCACAAGAAUGAGGCUAGCUUUGUAUGCAAAUAUGCAGCAGUUGGAAACACCACCUCAGCAAACUCUGAUUGUUGGAAACUUGCUUUUGUUUUUUGUUUUGACUGUCAAUCGUGCUAGGCAGGACUUCUUAAAAAAUGACUGGAUGAAAGUUGUUGUCCUGAAUAUCAUUUUAUCAAUCACUUCUGUUGUAUUUACAUUUUAGAAAAACAUGAAUAUUCAUAACUCAUCUUCAGUAAAAUUGUGAAUCAGAAA